rnacentral:misc_RNA from 1 species
CCGUGUAUUACGAAUAUAGAUUAAGUUUCCAAAAGCUACAACGCUUGUGCAAUGCAAAACAAUGCAAACUCGAUACACGAGCUAAACUUGGCACCGCUGAAAGUACUCUAAAAAUACACGUGGAAUGUUGGCCUAACCGGAAGGUAGAGUUCAAUUAUUUUCAACCGCUCGAUUAUCCUGUAGCUUGCGACGAAAAAUUAUACUAUGAUUUGCUGCUUUGUAUAGAAACAAAAGAGAUGAAUAAAAUGAUCUUUGUCGUUGUUAUACAUAAUCGAGAAGCUCAGUGUACAAGGGACACACUGCUCUCGUCGAACGUGCUCCAAAGAGAUUCAUGACUGGGCGACGUGGAUGUCUCUUGGGAGCUUCUAUCGUUCGAGUCCUCCGAGCUGCAUACCAAGUCCUUCUUCCUCGGAUCUUUAUCGCAAAAAUUUUUCCUUUUGAACGAAGCGCUCGAUUCAGACGUGUCCUCGGAAUGCUCGUAAGAACAGCGUAAUGAGCCUAUUUUAAUCUUCCGAUUUUAAUGUCGUUAUUAUUAAUUGACAGCAGGUUGGAAAGUAGAACAACCUGUUGGACGCAAAGACUAUAAAAUACUAAACAUUAAGUUCAGGAAGCUGCGUAAAAAAGAACAAUCAAAAGCGUUUCAAAUUAACGAUCUUUAAUACGCAGCUAAGCACGUUAUAGUUAAUUGGAAUUGAAACAAUAUGACCAGAA